rnacentral:siRNA from 1 species
UCGACCCUAACCUCUCUCCUUGG